rnacentral:rRNA from 1 species
CAGCCGCCGCGGUAAUACGAAGGGGGCUAGCGUUGUUCGGAAUUACUGGGCGUAAAGCGCACGUAGGCGGAUAUUUAAGUCAGGGGUGAAAUCCCGCAGCUCAACUGCGGAACUGCCUUUGAUACUGGGUAUCUUGAGUAUGGAAGAGGUUAGUGGAAUUGCGAGUGUAGAGGUGAAAUUCGUAGAUAUUCGCAGGAACACCAGUGGCGAAGGCGGCUAACUGGUCCAUAACUGACGCUGAGGUGCGAAAGCGUGGGGAGCAAACAGGAUUAGAUACCCCAGUAGUCCCUGUCUCUUAUAC